rnacentral:misc_RNA from 1 species
AUGCAAAUAUGGAUUCCUCCAAUUCCCAGGACGUUCCUGCAGGGACUAGGAAUUUCGAUGAUCCCCCAGCGCAAACCGAAAUUAUCUCAUGCAUGGAUCCCAAUUUGCUCAGGGCUGCAGCAGAAGGCAAUAUCAGUUCCUUCAAUGGCUACGACCAACCCCUUGAUCUUCUACUCACUCCAAACAAAAACACAGUUCUGCAUAUUUACAUCAGUGCACGAGCAAAUGCGGCAAAAUCACUCGAAUUCAUGUGCGAAAUACUCCAAAAGUGUCCAUCGCUGUUAGAUCAGGCUAAUAUAAGAGAU